UUCGGAGACCAUACCACGUUGAAAGCACCGGUUCUCGUCCGAUCAUCGAAGCUAAGCAACGUUGGACCCGGUUAGUACUUGCAUGGGUGACCGGCUGGGAAUACCGUGUGUUGCCGGCU
rnacentral:rRNA from 1 species